rnacentral:piRNA from 1 species
UUCAAAACCCAGCUCGAGUGCC